rnacentral:lncRNA from 1 species
UGAUUAUGUGUUGUCUAUAUUACAUGCAAGUGAUCCUGGCUAUUUGCUUCCAUUGUUCAUAUUUGCUUCCGCCGUUCAAGAAUCUCUUUGAAGUUUUGUGUUUCUAAUUGAGUUUUAUUGCUGUCUCGACGCCGAUUGUAAUCGUGGCAUUACUCUGUUGGUGUAACUAUUGGAACUCUCAUUAAAGGAAAGCAUAUUUCAGAUUGAGGCGAGGUUUUUGUCGAUUCUGAACUUUCUGUUUGAAGAAUUGUUUCAGGU